GAAAGACCUGUGGGAACGAAUGAGGCGUGGUUGUUUUUUAAAAUUAAAAAAAGAAGGGUGGGGGGAACCAGCAACCAGAAAAGGACUCUGUGUGUAGUGGGUUGAUCAGAGGAGCAGAUCGUCUGAGCUGCCAACAGCCAGCAGCCUUUCUAGCGGAAGAGGCUCAAGGUGGGAAUGUUUUGAGUCCUCCUCUGAGCCGCCUCUUAUCUGCCAUAGUGACAAGAGGGCAGUAAAAACCAGCUGGCAGCCAGGAAGGUCUUUCUCCCAUGACCCAGCAGGAAUGCAAGAACAGAGAGAGAAGGGGGUGUGGACAGAGAGCACUCAGUGGCAGGCCUUAUUUUAGCACUCGGUUAAAAGCAACCGGUGGGCAAAAGAUUGAGCUGUCGGUUUGGGGGGAGGGUGGACAGGACAAAGCAGAGACCUUAAUCAAAAUGAGCCAAGGACCUGUCUCUUCCAAAGGUCCGAGCAACAUGGCAAAACCUUUACAGCUUCCUCUGCAGUUGCAGGAUUCCCUGACUCUCUUCUACAGAGGAACAUUGGAACCACAGUGAAUGAGCAGGCUUCUUACUGGCCGCUGCACAAUGAGCGGUAGCUCAGCAAUGGAAGAACCAGCCUGAAAUGCCCCUCAAGAUAUGGGGAAAUAGUAUAUGGGGUACAGCAAUGUCUGAGCGACUCACUAGACACAGGAAGGCAAUUAAAGGCAUAACGAAUAGAGGCACCUUCCAAGAAACCUUUCUUGAACUAUGUGAAUGACUAAAAUCAAGACCUUCUUACACCAACUGCUCAAUAGUCUCAGUGGAGAGGUUAUGCUAAGUAAUCUGUUUGAAUGUUGAAUGUGUCAAACAAACACAGUUAGCUAUACUGCUGGAGGAUAUGUCUUUAGAAUAUUCCCAAAAUGGGUCUCUCCUAAAACCAGCACACACAACUUUUUGUGAGGCUAAAUACAAGAACAUAGGAACGACAAGCCUGGCUCGUCUCGCUCUGCCUUGGCCCAUCACGGCUCUCUUCAAGGUGUUUAAUGUACACCACUUAACUUGUUUUGCCAGUACAUUAACCACUUGGGAAUCGGUUCACACCCACUCCAACUUCUUUUUGCUGGAUCUCAUGUUUACGGCAUCUUAAAAAGCAGAGACAUCACCUUGCCGACAAAGGUCCGUAUAGUUAAAGCUAUGGUUUUCCCAGUAGUGAUGUAUGGAAGUGAGAGCUGGACCAUGAAGAAGGCUGAUCGCUGAAGAAUUGAUGCUUUUGAAUUAUGGUGCUGGAGGAGACUCUUGAGAGUCCCAUGGACUGCAAGAAGAUCAAACCUCUCCAUUCUGAAGGAAAUCAGCCCUGAGUGCUCCCUGGAAGGACGUGAAGCUGAGGCUCCAAUACUUUGGCCACCUCAUGAGAAGAGAAGAAUCCUUGGAAAAGACCCUGAUGUUGGGAAAGAUGGAGGGCACAAGGAGAAGGGGACGACAGAGGACGAGAUGGUUGGACAGUGUUCUCGAAGCUACGAACAUGAGUUUGACCAAACUGCGUGAGGCAGUGCAAGACAGGAGUGCCUGGCGUGCUCUGGUCCAUGGGGAAGACAUGACUAAACGACUAAACAUCAAAAAGUUUAUGGUGCUGUGACACAACCACCCCUUGCAUUCUGGUCUCACUUUAUGAGACAGAGAUCAGGUAACCUCAGGCCUCUCUCUGUCUGGUCACCAGAACUAGCCACACUCCUCCCUGGACCACAGCUCAGUGGUAGAGCAUCUGCUACCGGUACUUGCAACCAAGUGAAGAUGCCUGGGCACCAGGAUCUUGACUGUUUUCACACACUAAUGCCCCAUCCUGUAGAAUUCUAUCAGUUAUAUUUUAUCUGCACAAUUAGAAUGAAUUUCUGGAACCAAAAUGCUUUUUCUGUGCAGCCUGAACAGGAGCAGUCGCCAUUAAGAAAAAGAGGUCGAAAUAGGCCAAUAUAUAUACAGACUGUCCCUAGAUAAAGCGACUUUUCUUCUUUAAGUUCUCAGAGGUCUUAACUUAGCUCAGGGUUGUCAUCUGAACUAGCCAGAUGUUUAACUGAGAAUGAUUCACAGUAGGUUCAUCAUUUGAAAAAUAAAACUUUAGAG